AGUAACACGUUGGGUAACCUGACCCCGAUGACCGGGACAACCCGGAGGAAACUGCGGGCUAAUACCGGAUGUUCUCGCUUUCUCUCAAGGGAUUGGAGCAAAGUAUAGGCUUUCGGGCCUUCGCUAGUUCGGGACCGGGCCCAGCGGCCCAUUAGCUUGUUGGUGGGGUAACGGCGCUACCUAAGGCGACGAUGGGUAGCUGGUCUGAGAGGACGAUCAGCCACACGUGGGACUGAGACACUGGCCCAGACUCCUACGGGAGGCAGCUACGUGGGGAAUCUUGCGCAAUUGCGCGAAAGCGUGACGCAGCAACGCCGCGUGGGGGAAGAAGGCCUUCGGGUUGUAGAACCCCUUUUCAGUCUCGGGACGAAUGCUUCGUCGGUUAAUAGCCUGGCUGGAGUGACGGUACCUUCACAAUGGAAGCCCCGGCUAAUCUACGUGCCA
rnacentral:rRNA from 1 species